GCUGUGGUGGUUUAGUGGUAGAAUUCUCGCCUUCCACGUGGGAGGCCCGGGUUGGAUCCCUGACCGAUGUA
rnacentral:tRNA from 1 species